CCUACGGGUGGCUGCAGUGGGGAAUAUUGGACAAUGGGCGAAAGCCUGAUCCAGCCAUGCCGCGUGUGUGAAGAAGGCCUUCGGGUUGAAAAGCACUUUCAGUGGGGAAGAAAGCCUUGGGGCUAAUACCCUCGAGGAAGGACAUCACCCACAGAAGAAGCACCGGCUAACUCCGUGCCAGCAGCCGCGGUAAUACGGAGGGUGCGAGCGUUAAUCGGAAUUACUGGGCGUAAAGCGCGCGUAGGCGGUCUGAUAAGCCGGUUGUGAAAGCCCCGGGCUCAACCUGGGAACGGCAUCCGGAACUGUCAGGCUAGAGUGCAGGAGAGGAAGGUAGAAUUCCCGGUGUAGCGGUGAAAUGCGUAGAGAUCGGGAGGAAUACCAGUGGCGAAGGCGGCCUUCUGGACUGACACUGACGCUGAGGUGCGAAAGCGUGGGUAGCAAACAGGAUUAGAUACCCGGGUAGUC
rnacentral:rRNA from 1 species